rnacentral:rRNA from 1 species
UACGUAGGUCCCAAGCGUUAUCCGGAAUUACUGGGCGUAAAGAGUUGCGUAGGUGGCAGAGUAAGUCUGUAGUGAAAGCGUGUGGCUCAACCACAUAUACAUUAUGGAAACUGCUCAGCUUGAGGACGAGAGAGGUAAUUGGAAUUCCCAGUGUAGGAGUGAAAUCCGUAGAUAUUGGGAGGAACACCGAUGGCGUAGGCAGAUUACUGGCUCGUUCCUGACACUAAGGCACGAAAGCGUGGGGAGCAAACGGG